GGCGACAUGGCCGAGUGGUUAUGGCGGAAGUUUCAAGGUUCACCUUGCCUGCACUACAGGCAGUAUAUGCUUCUGGGGCAACCAACACGAGUUCGAGUCUCGUUGUCGUCA